rnacentral:lncRNA from 1 species
CCCCAAAACAGGCACUUCAGACCCCCCUUAUUCCACGGUAGUUUCCUGGGACACAGGAUCCUGCUGGCAACAUCAAGAAAAACCUGACAUCCUACUAAAGGCUGUGGGACAUGUACUCAAGAGGCGGAAUCAAGUGGGAGGAUGACUUGAGACCAGGAGAUGAAAAGCCACCAGGAAUUUGUGCCUCAUGCAGAGGAGAAGUCUGCACUCUUCAGCUCCUGUGUGGUGGCCCUGGUAUUCAAUUUGUGAGGUAGAAACCUGCCUGCAGGACCCCUCUCUUUGCUGAGCUUUCCUUUUGCUUAAUAAAUUCCGCCCUCCUCAUCCUUCAAUGUGUCCACAUGCCUAAUUUUUUUCUGGUCAUGAGACAAGAACCUGGAUUUAGCUGAACUAAGGAGCAAGAAUCCUGCAUCAAUAUCUUUUUUAAAGCAUUAUAAUAAAUUGAAUGGCAUGUACAAACAAGAUCUAAGGUAUGUACUAGAAUUCCAAGUAUUUAUUUUCAAAGGUAAUGGUGUGAAUGGUAUGAUUUUAUUGAAGGAUUUGAAUUAUAUUUUAAUCCCUUAAAGCCCAGAAUGCAAUUUAUGGCUACAGGGAUCUGCCAUACAUUAGCCUUAGGGGACGCUAAGUAACAACUAACUUUAUAGUGAUGAAAUCACUGUCUAGUUCUCAUUUUCUACCCAAACCUGUGAAUUUUUGAGUCCCCUUACACCAAUGUCCUUAUGUAAUUAAUAUAGCUAAUAGCACUAGAAUAAUACUGACAAGUUGAAUUACAUAACAUUAUCUUACAAGAUUAUAAAAAUUUGCAAUUAUGUUGAAAGCUGGAAAGUGUAUCAAGUUAAAUAAGUUGGAUAUGAAAAAAGACUUAUCUAAUUUUGUCCACUUAGUUUACUUAAGUGAAUAUAUUUACACGCAUGUAUUUAACAAG